CUGCUGCCUUCCGUAGGAGUUUGGACCGUGUCUCAGUUCCAAUGUGGGGGACCUUCCUCUCAGAACCCCUACGCAUCGUCGGCUUGGUGGGCCGUUGCCCCACCAACUACCUAAUGCGCCGCAUGCCCAUCCAUGACCGGGGUCGCCCCCUUUGACCGGCAGGGGAUGUCCCUCCCGGCAUUAUGUUGUAUUAGGCGGGAUUUCUCCCGGUUAUCCAUCUGUCACGGCCAGGUUGCAUACGUGUUACUCACCCGUGCGCCGGUCGCCGG
rnacentral:rRNA from 1 species